rnacentral:piRNA from 1 species
AGCAUUUUGUAGAAUAAAAUGAA